rnacentral:ribozyme from 14 species
GCCUGUAAAUAGAAAGAGGCAUGCUUUUGUUGGUGCAUAAACGUAAUAGAAAAGAAUGAAAAUAGAAAAGAAUGAAGUAGUGAUCACUACAUGUGAGUUAAUGUACGAUUCCUAGUAGCGUUUCUUUGCCUCUGCAAUACACUUCUUUCGCCAAUUCUUCAUAUCAA